GGGACCGUAGUCUAGUGGCAGAAUUCCACCUUGGGGUGGUGGAGACCUGGGUUCGAUUAAAUUUGUUUCCCCUGGAAACUUUCUUAGGGAAUCCCAGCGGUCCCA
rnacentral:tRNA from 1 species